AGGGAGGUGGGAGGGUGGGUGGGACACAGAUUGGUGGCACUGGGUUGGGAUGGAGGGAGUGCAAUAGGAUGGAACAGAGUGGGAGAGGAUGGGGACAGAGUGGGACUGGGGACAGAGUGGGACUGGGGACAGAGGUGGGGAUGCUGUGGGGCUGGAGGGGACGGGAGUGGGGAUGGCACAUGGACCAAAGUGAUGGAGAUACGAAGGGAUGGAGGUGUGGGUGAAGGGCACAGCCUGAGACCUCAGGAGUGGGAGCAGGGCUGCAAGGCGUCACCUUGGAGUGACAGAGCACAGGGUGACAGAUGUGGGGCUGAUGGUGGCACAGGGGUAAUGGGGAAUGCAUCAAAUGCGUCACAUGGGGUUGACAGACGGUGGGGACAACGUGGGGUGACAGAGCAACACGUGCUGGUGGCCUUUGCCUGGGUUUAUUUCAAUGUACAACGGUGGCAUUGGGGAACGGUGCUGUCCCCACAGUGUCACCCAUCGCCCUGGGUGAUGGCACAGCAAAGGACACAGCUGGCACAGGAGCACUGCUGGGCUCUGCGGGGUGCAAAAUGGCACCAUGGGCACUGGAGGACCCCAUUACUCUCUUAAGGGAUGCAGGAGGUACCCAAGGGUGCCCUGGGGUGGCCACUGACCCCAUUGCUCCCUAUGGGGUGCAGGAUAACACUACGGCCACCCAGCGGCCCCAUUGCUUCCCGUGGGGUUCAGGGAUCACUUCAAGGUGCCAUUGGGCUCCAUGGGGUGCAGGAUGGUUCCACGGGUGCCCAGCAGCCCCACUGAUCCCCGUGGGGUUGAUGGGAUCACUUCAAGUUGCCAUUGGGAUCCACGAGGUGCAGGAUGGAACAGUGGCCCCAUUGCUCCCUGUGGGGCUCAAGGAUCACUUGGGGGUCCUAUUGCUCCCAGUGGGGUUCAGGGAUCUCUCAGUGGCCCUAUUGCUCCCUAUGGGGCUCAGGGUGCACUUAGGGGCCCUACUGCUCCCCAUGGGGCUCAGGGAUCUCUCAAUGAUCCUAUUGCUCCCCAUGGGGCUCAGGGCUCACUUAGGGUCCCAUUGCUCCCCAUGGGGGCUCAGGGUGCACUUAGGGGCCCUACUGCUCCCCAUGGGGCUCAGGGAUCUCUCAGUGGCCCUAUUGCUCCCCAUGGGGCUCAGGGCUCACUUAGGGUCCCAUUGCUCCCCAUGGGGCUCAGGGAUCUCUCAGUGGCCCUAUUGCUCCCUUUGGGGCUCAGGGUUCACUUAGGGGUCCCAUUGCUCCCCAUGGGGUUCAGGCAUCUCUCAUUGGCCCUAUUGCUCCCCAUGGGGCUCAGGCAUCUCUCAGUGGCCCUAU
rnacentral:lncRNA from 1 species